GAAAUGCGAUACGUAGUGCGAAUUGCAGAAUUCAGUGAAUCAUCAAAUUCUUGAACGCAAAUUGCGCUUCCGGGAUAGGCCUGGGAGCACGCUUCUUUGAGUAUCGGUUCACCUCUCAUCGACUGCGUUUUCUUUUUGGAAACACAGUCGGACAGUGAGCGUCACAGUCUCGUGUGCUUGGGAAACCAAGUGCGCUGUGUCGCUUCAAGCUCAGAGCUUGAGCCAAGCCAUCACACAGACCCCCGUCGCUGGGACGGACACUGGGUACACACCCCAUAUUGCCCGUCAUACCAACUGGCGAAGAGGGUUGAGCGGCUUCGGCUCGAAGCAUCGGUUCUGUCUUGGGCGGUUUGUAGCCCUCCAGGACGAACAACAUACAACUGAAAUAGAUCUCAGAUGA
rnacentral:misc_RNA from 1 species